GAUGAACGCUGGCGGCGUGCCUAACACAUGCAAGUCGAACGGGUUAAAGACGCCGACUUGCAUCUGAUGCAAGGGGAGCUUGCUCCCCAAGCUGAUGAUGCUUGUCUUGUCUUUAUCUAGUGGCGAACGGGUGAGUAACACGUGGAUAACCUGCCCUGCACUUUGGAAUACCUUCAGGAAACUGAAGUUAAUACCAAAUAAGCACACCACUGUCGCAUGACAGAGUGUGAAAAGAUUUAUCGGUGUGGGAGGGGUCCGCGCUCAAUUAGCUAGUUGGUGAGAUAAUAGCUCACCAAGGCUACGAUUGAUAGCCGGGAUGAGAGUCUGAUCGGCCACAUUGGGACUGAGACACGGCCCAAACUCCUACGGGAGGCAGCAGUGGGGAAUAUUGCACAAUGGGGGAAACCCUGAUGCAGCAACGCCGCGUGAAGGAAGAAGGCCUUCGGGUUGUAAACUUCUUUAGGCAGGGAAGAACAAAAUGACGGUACCUGCAGAAUAAGCACCGGCUAAAUACGUGCCAGCAGCCGCGGUAAUACGUAUGGUGCAAGCGUUAUCCGGAAUUACUGGGUGUAAAGGGUGAGUAGGCGGUUAUUUAAGUCAUAUGUGAAAUCCCGGGGCUCAACCCCGGAACUGCAUAAGAAACUGGAUAACUAGAGUAUGGGAGAGGCAGGCGGAAUUCCUAGUGUAGCGGUGGAAUGCGUAGAUAUUAGGAAGAACACCAGUGGCGAAGGCGGCCUGCUGGACCAAAACUGACGCUGAGUCACGAAAGCGUGGGGAGCAAACAGGAUUAGAUACCCUGGUAGUCCACGCCGUAAACGAUGAGUGCUAGGUGUCGGGGGGAAACCUUCGGUGCCGCAGCUAACGCAAUAAGCACUCCACCUGGGGAGUACGUACGCAAGUAUGAAACUCAAAGGAAUUGACGGGGGCCCGCACAAGCGGUGGAGCAUGUGGUUUAAUUCGAUGCAACGCGAAGAACCUUACCAAGGCUUGACAUCCCUUUGACCGGUAUAGAGAUAUACCUUUUCUUCGGAACAAAGGUGACAGGUGGUGCAUGGUUGUCGUCAGCUCGUGUCGUGAGAUGUUGGGUUAAGUCCCGCAACGAGCGCAACCCUUAUUUUUAGUAGCCAGCGGAUAAUGCCGGGCACUCUGGAAAGACUGCCGUGGAUAACACGGAGGAAGGUGGGGACGACGUCAAAUCAUCAUGCCCUAUAUGCCUUGGGCAACACACGUGCUACAAUGGCGGUAACAAAGUGAAGCAAGCAGGCAACUGUAAGCAAAGCACAAAAAAGCCGUCUCAGUUCGGAUUGGGGUCUGCAACUCGACCCUAUGAAGUUGGAAUCGCUAGUAAUCGCGAAUCAGCAUGUCGCGGUGAAUACGUUCCCGGGCC
rnacentral:rRNA from 1 species